GCUCAUUUGGCCGAGUGGUUAAGGCGGCGCACUGCUAAUGCGUUGGGUUCAUCCCGCGUAGGUUCGAAUCCUACAGUGGGCG
rnacentral:tRNA from 1 species